AUGUGGCCUAGUACUUAGAGCGUCCGCCUUGGAUGUGGGAGGUCGUGGGUUCAAUCCCCGGUCCAGUCUA